UACCACCAACAAGCCUCUGCGUUUAUGCCGUCAUCUACUCCGCCUUGGCCACUCCGGAUUCGUUGCGCAUCUUUCUUCACGAGAACCAAGCUCUCUCUCUCUCUCUCUCUCUCUCUCUCUCUGAUCUUCGUUUGAUUAGGCACAGGAAGGUGGAUCGUGAGCAGAGUUGGUUGUCAUGAGCUUGAAGACAGAGGAGGUAUGGCGUGGUGGUGGUGCUAGCAGCCUCUGCUCACCGGAGAGUGAAGAAAACAAAGGAUCUAUGGCGUGAUGCGGUGGAUGAAGAUGACGACGUUAUGCGGCUGAUGAUUAUUCAACUCAGAUUUAGAUUUAGGUUUUUUUGUUUGUUUGGUUUAGUGUUUUUUACUUGGUUUAGAUUUAGAUAUAUACUUCCAUUUGACCUAUUUCUAGGAGGCUGGACACAGUGCGAAAGGUAGAGCUCUUAUUGGCUUAGAGCUGCUCAUCAUCAAUGAACAGCUCUGUUCUAUCUGGUGUAGACCACAUGUGCCUACCUAUGUAUGAUGACCAGUUCAGGUUCCACGUUCAUGAGGAUUUUGAAUCCAACUGUGGACUCAGGGGAGACCUCUAUGGUGUGAGAUGUGGUUGGCCUCAUGAAGCUACUGAAUUGACAAUUGCUCAUUCACCGUCCGGUCCUUGACUACGUGGAAAUAGCGAACACAAGGCCUGUUCUGUUUCACUUACAAACUAAAGAGACCUGUUAUGAAGCUGUAUCUCUGGGACCAGGCAGCAACAGUAUUCUACAAAUUCACGGCCAGUGCCGACACUUCCGUUAUCCUUUUAGUGAUGACACUGAAUUCAGAACAUAUUCGUGGACCCUUGCCCUCAGCUCAAUCUCAUCAUCACAUGUUUUCAUCGACAAAUAUUCCAACCCACAAUCAACUACUUCAAUUGUCAGGUUGAAUUCUAACCUAGAGUUUGCUAAGAAAGUGAAUGCAUAGGAGGUGACUAAGGCUGAGACAACGACAAUUGGAAAAAUCUUUGCUUAUAUCAAGCAAGGAUUGGCCAAGGCCGUGAGCUAACUGGAAAGCAUGCCUCCGAAUUGGUUGAUAAGUACUUUGAGGCUAAUGGUGAUCUUGGUACUAACCAUGAAUGCCUGUCCUACAAACUUUGAUCGACGCCAUUGGUCAAACACAUAGGUUCAAGGUGUAAGUUUCUGAAUACAACUUAGAAGGAAGGACUCAGGCUAUAACAGUUAUGAAGGUUGUCUCUCCUUCAGUCCUGCAACCUUUAACAUCCCCGGUUGGAAUCACACUUGCCACCACUUCUGAAAUGCCUCUAUUUUCUGCAAGUGAUUAGGGUGCGUCCUCCAAAGACUGGAGACCUAGCUGUUGAAGAAAACGCCAGUACAAGUAACUGUGACAAAGCACAGAGGAAAACGUGCUAAAUUUGAGUAAUAGAGCAUUAACCACUCAUUUUAUAUAUUGCACUUAUGCGUAGGAGUGUAGCUUUUCUGUCCGUUUCUAAUUAUGAGCGUUUGUUAAGUUUUUUUUAAUAUAUUUAGUAUGGCUUUA